rnacentral:rRNA from 1 species
UACAGAGGGGGCAAGCGUUGUUCGGAAUUACUGGGCGUAAAGGGUGUGUAGGCGGUUUUUUAAGUUUGGUGUGAAAUCUCCCGGCUCAACUGGGUGGGUGCGCCGAAUACUGAGGGACUAGAGUACGGGAGAGGAAAGUGGAAUUCCUGGUGUAGCGGUGAAAUGCGUAGAUAUCAGGAGGAACACCGGUGGUGUAGACGGCUUUCUGGACCGUAACUGACGCUGAGACACGAAAGCGUGGGUAGCAAACAGG